rnacentral:rRNA from 1 species
AUUGAACGCUGGCGGCAUGCCUUACACAUGCAAGUCGAACGGCAGCACGGGAGCUUGCUCCUGGUGGCGAGUGGCGAACGGGUGAAUAAUACAUCGGAACGUACCCUGAAGUGGGGGAUAACGUAGCGAAAGUUACGCUAAUACCGCAUAUUCUGUGAGCAGGAAAGAGGGGGAUCGCAAGACCUCUUGCUUUAGGAGCGGCCGAUGUCGGAUUAGCUAGUUGGUGAGGUAAAGGCUCACCAAGGCGACGAUCCGUAGCGGGUCUGAGAGGAUGAUCCGCCACACUGGGACUGAGACACGGCCCAGACUCCUACGGGAGGCAGCAGUGGGGAAUUUUGGACAAUGGGCGCAAGCCUGAUCCAGCCAUGCCGCGUGAGUGAAGAAGGCCUGGUUGUAAGACUCUUCGGUUGGGGAAGGAAAGUUAGCACAGAGUAAUACCUUAGUGUAGAUGACGGUA